rnacentral:rRNA from 1 species
UACGUAGGGGGCAAGCGUUGUCCGGAUUUAUUGGGCGUAAAGAGCGUGUAGGCGGCUGGGUAGGUCCGUUGUGAAAACUCGAGGCUCAACCUCGAGACGCCGAUGGAAACCAUCCAGCUAGAGUCCGGAAGAGGAGAGUGGAAUUCCUGGUGUAGCGGUGAAAUGCGCAGAUAUCAGGAAGAACACCUAUGGCGAAGGCAGCUCUCUGGGACGGUACUGACGCUGAGACGCGAAAGCGUGGGGAGCGAACAGG